rnacentral:rRNA from 1 species
ACCGGGAUUGCUUAUUGCACCACAUGUGUUUUUUAUUGAACAAAUUUCUUUGGUGGGGGGAGCAAUCCUACCGCCAGAGGUUAUAACUAAACCAAACUUUUUAUUUACAGUCAAACUUGAUUUUUUAUUACAAUAGUCAAAACUUUCAACAACGGAUCUCUUGGUUCUCGCAUCGAUGAAGAACGCAGCGAAAUGCGAUACGUAAUAUGAAUUGCAGAUAUUCGUGAAUCAUCGAAUCUUUGAACGCACAUUGCGCCCUUUGGUAUUCCAAAGGGCAUGCCUGUUUGAGCGUCAUUUCUCCCUCAAACCCCCGGGUUUGGUGUUGAGCAAUACGCUAGGUUUGUUUGAAAGAAUUUAACGUGGAAACUUAUAUUAACCGACUUAGGUUUAUCCAAAAACGCUUAUUUUGCUAGUGGCCACCACAAUUUAUUUCAUAACUUUGACCUCAAAUCAGGUAGGACUACCCGCUGAACUUAAGCAUAUCAAUAAGCGGAGGUAU